UACGAAGGGGGCUAGCGUUGCUCGGAAUCACUGGGCGUAAAGCGCACGUAGGCGGAUCUUUAAGUCAGGGGUGAAAUCCUGGAGCUCAACUCCAGAACUGCCUUUGAUACUGGGGAUCUCGAGUCCGGGAGAGGUGAGUGGAACUGCGAGUGUAGAGGUGAAAUUCGUAGAUAUUCGCAAGAACACCAGUGGCGAAGGCGGCUCACUGGCCCGGUACUGACGCUGAGACGCGAAAGCGUGGGGAGCAAACAGG
rnacentral:rRNA from 1 species